UCCUAAAUGUAUCUUCUCCGUGAAUCACUCAACAGAGUAAAAUUUUAAUAUUUUUUUUCGUUUUCCCCUCCGAAUCUACAAGAAUCCAUCUCAAGUAAAAUCAGGGUUUUUAUUUCAAAUCAUGGAUGAAUAAACUCCUUCAAUGCGGAUUACUAGAGGAUCUAUUGCUAAAUCUAAAGCAAUGUCUGAAAAUAAAUCAGAGCAAGAGAUUAGGUCUAAACUUCGCAAUGACUCUAAAAUAAUUGAAGAAAAAAAUUUAAAAAUCGAGGUCAAAAGUGUCGAACAAAAAAAGAGAAAUGCAAAAAAAUUGUUCUGAGGCUGACUCUAUGGUUUCCAACAAAAAAAGAAAAGCAAAAGAAACAUCUUUAACUAAAGAUGAAUCCAAAACCCAUAGUGAAGAUGAUGAUGAUGCAAGUGAACAUCGUGAUUGUGGUGAUAAGGAGGAACAUGUCCUACUCCAAUGGAUCUUUCAAGUAUUCAAUUACCCCCGAAGUAUGUCAAACAAGAUGCAAUUCCUCCUCCCACAUCAUUUGAUUCGGAUGACGACCUCCAAUAUCAUCCAAGAUCAAAAGAAAUGUUGAAGUUAGUGGUUCUUCACCGUUAAAGAAGAAGUCAAGGCAAGUUGAUCCUAGUCUUCCUAAGAAGUCACCUCCAAGACAUGCUACAAAAAGGAUUCAGCCACGCAACCGCACACUUGCACCACCAACUACUGUCCCUAUUUCCAAGAAGCAAUCUGUUGUUGCUCCCAAAAAGACAGUCAUUAAGAAGUCUAUGGAGCGUAAAAAAAUCCGACUAUGCUAGUAUAGGAUUUUAAUUUAUUCUUUUUUGACACAGGAUGCUAGUAACCCUCAGGAGGGUAAUGGAUUGUCUGAUAGUCUACGUGUUUAUCAUGAAGAUGCUCAUAAAAAAGAUUUCUUCUGUGAUGUUCCUUCUUCUAGUGAGGUUGCUCCCUCCGAUGCAAUUCAACAAGAUUCAUGUACCAUGCCACUUCAUAUCACAAAUCAGGUGGUUUCUAAAUCCGAUACAUACUUCCUAGCCUAAACCAGGUAAGAAGUAUAGUCCUUCAACAGUCGGAACUGGUUCAAGAGCAGACUCCAGCACCAUUGCAGCGAAUCAGACAUCCAGGUCGAUAUAAUAUAUCGUCCUAUUUGACAUCUUUUGGAUUAGAAAUUGGUUAGAUUUUGAUAUUAUACAAUAUUAAUUUUUAUAUAUGUAUAACUGGCAGCACUAUUAAUUAAACAACGAAUCAUGUUCUUA